GUGCUCUGGCAGUACACAUACUAAAAUUGUAAAGAUACAGAGGAGAUUAACAUUGCCCUCUUGCACCACAAUGACAUGCAAAUUCCAGAAGCAUUCCAUAUUUUC